AAGCAUCAAAUAUGGUAAAAUUCGAUUGAGAGAAUUCGGGUAGAAAAUCACAAAGAAGGUAAGAUCCGAGAUUCUCCAAAGCGGGUCGAAAACAAUUAAUUCCGGGUCAAAAUUUUGAUCCGAUUAGGGACCCCAAAAACUGCUGCAAAAAUGUAUAGUAGAAUAUAAUUGAAUACCUCUACAUCUCUCUUAUCUAUUUAUAGUAUCAUCACCGGAUAAGUAAUGCAUCGCUCACCACAAAAUUGUCGGAGAAAUGGAUUCAUCACUUAACAUCAUCGACGUGGCACAAGUCACUCCUUCAAACUCUGACUCGGCGGAGUCACUCACUCUCCCACUCACCUUCUUCGACCUUAUUUAUUUCAAACUUCGCGCUGUCGAACGAGUCAUCUUCUACAGACUCACUGACGCAACUCGCCCUUUCUUCGACUCAGUCAUCGUUCCAAAUCUCAGAACCUCUCUCUCCUCAUGCCUCUCUCACUAUCUCCCACUCGCCGGCAAACUUGUAUAGGAACCUCUUGAUCUCAAACCAAGCAUCGUCUAUUCCCAAAACGACGCCGUUUCAUUCACUGUUGCCGAGACAAACGCGGAGUUCUCUCGUUUAUCCGGCAACAAACAAUUCCCCUCCACCGAGUUAUACCCGUUAGUCCCCGAGUUACUCAGCUCCGACAACUCAGCCUCCGUUGUGUCGUUCCAAGUCACGUUAUUUCCAAACCAAGGGUUUUGCAUCGGCGUAACCGCACACCAUGCCGUUUUAGAUGGAAAAACGACAACCAUGUUUCUCAAAUCUUGGGCACACUCAUGUUAAACAUCAAGAUUCUUCUCUACCGCAGGAUUUAAUCCCAAAUUACAAUCGUACGGUCAUAAAAAGUCCAACGGAUAGUGAAAACAAAGUUUUGGAUGAGUGGCACUCUUUAGCCAAAAUGUUAGCGGGUGGUAAAGAACCUGAGAACCCCAAGAGUUUAAAGCUUAAACCGUCAUUUGAGAUUGGUCCUGACGUUGUCCGGUACACUCUCGAGCUCACUCGUGAAGAUAUCCAAACGCUUCGCGAGAGACUUAAGAGAGAAUUUUCUUCCUCCUCACCCUCACCCUCAAAGGACCUUCGCUUGUCUACAUUUGUUAUUGUUUACUCAUACGCGUUAGUGUGCUUAAUAAGAGCUCGAGGCGGAGAACCGAAUAGACCGGUUGGAUAUGCAUUUUCAGUAGAUUGUCGAAGCCUCAUCAAUCCACCCACCCCAAGUUAUUUUGGAAAUUGUAUCUCUGGUUGCUUGAGAAUGAUGUUGAAGGCAAAAACGUUUAUGGGUGAAGAAGGGCUUUUGGCUGCUGCGAAAAUGGUCAGCGAUUCGAUCGAGGAAUGGGACGAGAGUUUGGCAUGGAAGAUUUCGGAUUUCCUAGCAUUUGCAACUCUUCCACCAGGGACACAAAUUAUUUUAGCUUCCGGGUCUACCCGAUUUGGAGUAUACGGGUUGGAUUUCGGAUGGGGCAGACCGGAUAAAGUGGUGAUUGUGUCGAUCAGUCAAGGCAAUGGGAUUUCCAUGGCGGAUAGUAGAGACCAAAACGGCGGUGUGGAGAUUGGCUUCUCACUCAAGAAACAAGAAAUGGACACACUAAUUGAUUUGCUCCAAUAUGAUCUAAAAAAUUAAACCACCUUUUCUUCUUCACAUGAAUAAAAUUGUUUUUCCUAAAUGAUAUCUUCAAAACGAUAACGCCAACUUAUCUAAUCAAUUUCUUUUUAGUAAUAUUGUGAGAUAUCCAUAUUUGUGUAUAUCAGUAUAUGCUUAAGAAAAUGACUAGUAUAAUCAUUUGGUGACAAAAAGAAAAAUAUGUAACAUUUCUACAACUUUUUGGAUAUAUACGAACGUAUAAAUGGA